CAGCAGCCGCGGGAAUACGAAGGGUGCAAGCGUUAAUCGGAAUUACUGGGCGUAAAGCGUGCGUAGGCGGUUUGUUAAGUCUGCUGUGAAAUCCCCGGGCUCAACCUGGGAAUGGCAGUGGAUACUGGCAAGCUAGAGUGUGUCAGAGGAUGGUGGAAUUCCCGGUGUAGCGGUGAAAUGCGUAGAGAUCGGGAGGAACAUCAGUGGCGAAGGCGGCCAUCUGGGACAACACUGACGCUGAGGCACGAAAGCGUGGGGAGCAAACAGGAUUAGAGACCCCUGUAGUCCCUGUCUCUUAUAC
rnacentral:rRNA from 1 species